AAACAACCUCCUAUGUUUUGAUUCUUUGGCAGUUUUGGACCCCAAGGCAAAAAAUAAAAAUAAAAAAAUUGACACGUAGCACCUCACUUAGGGUGUCACGUCAGCGUUGACCGAGUCAACAAUGGACUGGGGGUCCAAAAUUGUCAAAGAAUCAAAACAUAGGGAGCUGUUU
rfam:Medicago truncatula strain A17 chromosome 8, whole genome shotgun sequence.